AUUGAACGCUGGCGGCAGGCCUAACACAUGCAAGUCGAGCGAGCGGCGGACGGGUGAGUAAUGUAUGGGGAUCUGCCCGUUAGAGGGGGAUAACUACUGGAAACGGUGGCUAAUACCGCAUACUAUCGGCUGAACCAAUAUGGGAUUAGCUAGUGGGUGGGGAAAAGGCUCAACGAGGCGACGAUCUCUAGCUGGUCUGAGAGGAUGAUCAGCCACACUGGGACUGAGAAACGGCCGAGAGUCCUACGGGAGACAGAAGUGGGGAAUAUUGCACAAGGGGCGCAAGCCUGAUGCAGCCAUGCCGCGUGUAGUAAGAAGGGCUUAGGGUUGUAAAGUACUGUCAGCGGGGAGGCGUUACCCGCAGAAGAAGCACCGGCUAACUCCGUGCCAGCAGCCGCGGUAAUUC
rnacentral:rRNA from 1 species